UGACUUGUGAAUGAUAGAGUGUUGGAGUGUUACCCUAAACACUUGAGUGAUCGAGUGAAACACUUGCCUAGUGACAAUUGUUGAAAUUCAUUAUUGCAUCUUUGCUUAGUGGAUUGAUCAUUCAUAAUGUGUAACAUUUGUUGCGGCUUGAGGGAAACCGCCUGACGGUGAAAUUAGGCGCCGGGCGGUUGUCAGAUGGGCC
rnacentral:lncRNA from 1 species